UGGGGAAUCUUCCGCAAUGGACGAAAGUCUGACGGAGCAACGCCGCGUGUAUGAUGAAGGUCUUCGGAUUGUAAAGCUCUGUCUUCAGGGACGAUAAUGACGGUACCUGAGGAGGAAGCCACGGCUAACUACGUGCCAGCAGCCGCGGUAAUACGUAGGUGGCAAGCGUUGUCCGGAUUUACUGGGCGUAAAGGGAGCGUAGGCGGAUACUUAAGUGGGAUGUGAAAUACCUGGGCUUAACUUGGGUGCUGCAUUCCAAACUGGGUGUCUAGAGUGUUGGAGAGNAAAGUGGAAUUCCUAGUGUAGCGGUGAAAUGCGUAGAGAUUAGGAAGAACACCAGUGGCGAAGGCGACUUUCUGGACAAUAACUGACGCUGAG
rnacentral:rRNA from 1 species